rnacentral:lncRNA from 1 species
CUCUUCUUUCUUUUAAAAAUUUGUUAUACAGAAUCAAGGUGGAAAAGCUUUCUGAAGAAAUCACGCUCUUGAAAAAUGAGGUGGGGAAGAUCUGACAAGAGCUUGAAGCUUCAGAAAGGACAGAGGCUGCACAGAGCUGUAUGGAGCCACCCAGAGGCUGUGGCUGGCCCGGUCCCAGCACGCCCAGCGGGUGCAGCAGUCGCAGGAGGAGAUGGCACAGCGCGUGCCCACAGGCCGUGUGGCCGAGCUGCAGCAGCUGCUGGAAGGGGAGCAGCGGGCGGCUUGGCAGCUCCAGGAGGAGGCGCAGGUGAGUGGGGACAGGGCUGGGAGGCCAGCUGGGGGUGA